UACGUAGGGUGCAAGCGUUAAUCGGAAUUACUGGGCGUAAAGCGUGCGCAGGCGGUUUUGUAAGGCUGUUGUGAAAUCCCCGGGCUUAACCUGGGAAUGGCAAUGGAGACUGCAAGGCUAGAGUUUGGCAGAGGGGGGUAGAAUUCCACGUGUAGCAGUGAAAUGCGUAGAGAUGUGGAGGAACACCGAUGGCGAAGGCAGCCCCCUGGGUCAAGACUGACGCUCAUGCACGAAAGCGUGGGGAGCAAACAGG
rnacentral:rRNA from 1 species